rnacentral:rRNA from 1 species
UGGGGAAUAUUGCACAAUGGGGGAAACCCUGAUGCAGCGACGCCGCGUGAACGAAGAAGGUAUUCGUGUCGUAAAGUUCUGUCCUAUGGGAAGAUAAUGACAGUACCAUAGAAGAAAGCUCCGGCUAAAUACGUGCCAGCAGCCGCGGUAAUACGUAUGGAGCGAGCGUUGUCCGGAAUUAUUGGGCGUAAAGGGUACGCAGGCGGUUUAAUAAGUCGAAUGUUAAAGAUCGGGGCUCAACCCCGUAAAGCAUUGGAAACUGAUAAACUUGAGUAGUGGAGAGGAAAGUGGAAUUCCUAGUGUAGUGGUGAAAUACGUAGAUAUUAGGAGGAAUACCAGUAGCGAAGGCGACUUUCUGGACACAAACUGACGCUGAGGUACGAAAGCGUGGGGAGCAAACAGG